AUUGAACGCUGGCGGCGUGCUUAACACAUGCAAGUCGAACGAAGUGGCGAACGGGUGAGUAACGCGUAAUCAACCUGCCCUUCAGAGGGGGACAACAGUUGGAAACGACUGCUAAUACAGCAUACUGAAGGAGGGGCUUGCGUCUGAUUAGCUAGUUGGAGGGGUAACGGCCAACCAAGGCGAUGAUCAGUAGCCGGUCUGGGUGGAUGAACGGCCACAGUGGGACUGAGACACGGCCCAGACUCCUACGGGAGGCAGCAGUGGUGACUCUUCCGCCAUGGACGAAAGUCUGACGGGGCAACGCCGCGUGAGUGAUGACGGCCUUCGGGUUGUAAAGCUCUGUUAAUCGGGACGCGGUACCGGAAUAGAAAGCCACGGCUAACUACGUGCCAGCAGCCGCGGUAAUAC
rnacentral:rRNA from 1 species